rnacentral:rRNA from 1 species
AUCAAAUGGAGAGUUUGAUCCUGGCUCAGGAUGAACGCUGGCGGCAUGCCUAAUACAUGCAAGUCGAACGAAGU